UCCCUGGUGGUCUAGUGGUUAGGAUUUGGCACUUCCACUGCUGCGGCCCCGAUUCAACCCCUGGUCUGGGAA
rfam:Sus scrofa isolate TJ Tabasco breed Duroc chromosome 12, whole genome shotgun sequence.